rnacentral:lncRNA from 1 species
ACGACGUUUUUAGAAUUUAAUAUACAAAAUUACAUUUAUAUACUUUGUGUAAUACACAUGCUUUUUAAAGGUAUAACUCUUUUUUAAAGAUAUAACUUUUAUUAUUUAAUAUAUAAAAUUACAUUUAUUCAACCCGUGUAAUACACAGGGUUCUAAUCUAGUUAUGGGAUAAAGAAAACGUGGCGCACUUCUAUCAUAUGGCCUUCACUUCUAUCCUCAAUUGUGGCGCAUAUACAGACGGGCUAAACUUCAAAUACAAUUCUACUCCAAUGCUAAUUUUUGUUUGUACAUGCCAUGUCACCCACCGCUAAGUUAUCGGUGCAAUGGGGGAAUGCCUCUGCAUUGCCAUGGGUAGUGAUGCGGCGGCAGAAACAAUGUGCAUCAAUCCUUUUAUGAUAUAUACGAAAAAAAAUCUCUUUUGU